rnacentral:lncRNA from 1 species
UUCCCUGAGGGUUGUCGGACUGAGAAGUAUCCUGAUCCUGUUCCAGCAGACACAGUCAAUUUUAACAUAUACACAACUGCCAGGCAAUGGCCAAAACGUCAUAUAUGGCUACAGACCCACUGAAGAAAAGAAGAAGACUUUCAUCUGAAAUUGUUGUUAGAACCAAAUUGAUCAAACAUCGAAUGGGUCUGCAGAAAUACCAACAUCGGAGCCAGCUUCAAGCAGUAUAGGUACAUCAAAAGAGCUAUCAUCACUGAAUGUGCUGGCCUUAGCAGCAGAAAAUAAAAUUCUUCAGCAGCAGUUAGCCAAGCAGGUGUUGCUAAAUGAAGAACUAUGUAGAGACAACUCUUCUUUAAAGGACAAGAACAAGCAAAAGAAGAAAAUCC